rnacentral:rRNA from 1 species
CGAAGGCUAGGGUAGCGAAAGGGAUUAGAUACCCCUGUAGUCCUAGCAGUAAACGAUGUGCGCUUGGUGUAGGUGGGUUCGACCCCAUCUGUGCCGGAGCUAACGCGUUAAGCGCACCGCCUGGGGAGUACGGUCGCAAGACUAAAACUCAAAGAAAUUGACGGGGACCCGCACAAGCGGUGGAGUAUGUGGCUUAAUUCGAUGCAACGCGAAGAACCUUACCUAGGCUUGACAUGUAUUGCUAAUCUGCUGAAAGGCAGUGACCCUUCGGGGACCUUACACAGGUGCUGCAUGGCCGUCGUCAGCUCGUGUCGUGAGAUGUUCGGUUAAGUCCGGCAACGAGCGCAACCCCUGUGAUUAGUUACUAACAUUUAGUUGAGGACUCUAAUCAGACUGCCCAGAUCAACUGGGAGGAAGGUGGGGAUGACGUCAGGUCAGUAUGGCCCUUACGCCUAGGGCUGCACACGUACUACAAUGCCCAGUACAAUGAGAACCGAGACCGCGAGGUGGAGGAAAUCUACAAAACUGGGCUCAGUUCGGAUUGGAGGCUGCAACUCGCCUCCAUGAAGUUGGAAUCGCUAGUAAUGGCACAUCAGCUACGGUGCCGUGAAUACGUUCCCGGGUCUUGUACACACCGCCCGUCACAUCAUGGAAGCCGAUCGCACCCGAAGUGUCUGCGCCAACAUUGGCAGGGCCCUAAGGUGUAGUUGGUAACUGGGU